ACCCCACUCAUCGCCCGAGCUAGCUGCCUGCAAAAAAACUCGGCCCAUAGGGAUCACCAGGCAAGCAAAAUUUAGGCUUCCCAAUAGGGACUGCAGCCCCCAUAAGGUCACCUUUCUCGCACGCUUCAUUGUGUCUAUUAGAUGACAAAGCGUAUGUAGCUUGUCCGUGAGCAGUCUACAUUCCCCUUUCACCGAGUCAAUCUCCAAACUGAGGAAACUGAGGCAUGAUGUGGGGCCGACCAUCUUAUCCCCUGCCAGUGGAACCCCAAAAGAGUGUGCCACCCAUUGAAAUACCUUCAAUAUCUGACCACACCGCUCGGCUCCUGCCGGGCCCACGCACAAGAAAUCGUCGAGGUAAUGCAUGUUUGCCGUCCCGGCCUACUUUCGCCGCACCACCCAUUCCCAAAAAGGUGCUAAACUUUUUGAAAUAAGAACAUGAUAUGGAACAGCUGAUAGGUAAACACAGGUCCACGAAGAAACCCCCUUCGAAGAAACACCCUAGUAGCUGGUGACAUUCCGGGUGUAUGGGAAGCAGCCGAAAUGCUGCUUCCACAUCCACCUUCGCC